CCUAAGCCUAAGCCUAAGCCUAAGCCUAAGCCUAAGCCUAAGCCUAAGCCUAAGCCUAAGCCUAAGCCUAAGCCUAAGCCUAAGCCUAAGCCUAAGCCUAAGCCUAAGCCUAAGCCUAAGCCUAAGCCUAAGCCUAAGCCUAAGCCUAAAA
ensembl:ncRNA cTel52S.1 ncRNA